AGUGAACGCUGGCGGUAGGCCUAACACAUGCAAGUCGAACGCAACCACGUAAAGGCCUGGCCUUUCGGGUUGCGGGUGGGGGGAGGGGUGAGAAAUACACGGGAUCUACUUUUUCGGUGGGGGUAAAGGAGGGAAAACUAAGGUUAUAACCGCUUCGAACUACGGGUGAAAGCCAGGGGUCUUCGGACCUUUCCGGGAUGGAUGAGCCGAUGUCGGAUUAGCUAGUUGGCGGGGUAAAGGCCCACCAAGGCGACGAUCCGUAGCUGGUCUGAGAGGAUGAUCAGCCACACUGGAACUGAGACACGGUCCAGACUCCUACGGGAGGCAGCAGUGGGGAAUAUUGGACAAUGGGCGCAAGCCUGAUCCAGCCAUACCGCGUGGGUGAAGAAGGCCUUCGGGUUGUAAAGCCCUUUUGUUGGGAAAGAAAAGCAGCAGGUUAAUACCCCGCUGUUCUGACGGUACCCAAAGAAUAAGCACCGGCUAACUUCGUG
rnacentral:rRNA from 1 species